GAUGAACGCUGGCGGCGUGCCUAAUACAUGCAAGUCGAGCGAACAGACGAGGAGCUUGCUCCUCUGACGUUAGCGGCGGACGGGUGAGUAACACGUGGAUAACCUACCUAUAAGACUGGGAUAACUUCGGGAAACCGGAGCUAAUACCGGAUAAUAUAUUGAACCGCAUGGUUCAAUAGUGAAAGACGGUUUUGCUGUCACUUAUAGAUGGAUCCGCUCCGCAUUAGCUAGUUGGUAAGGUAACGGCUUACCAAGGCAACGAUGCGUAGCCGACCUGAGAGGGGGAUCGGCAACCCUGGAACUGAGACCCGGUCCAGACUCCUACGGGAGGCAGCAGUAGGGAAUCUUCGGCAAGGGGCGAAAGCCUGACGGAGCAACGCCGCGUGAGUGAUGAAGGUCUUCGGAUCGUAAAACUCUGUUAUUAGGGAAGAACAAAUGUGUAAGUAACUAUGCACGUCUUGACGGUACCUAAUCAGAAAGCCACGGCUAACUACGUG
rnacentral:rRNA from 1 species